rnacentral:rRNA from 1 species
AACGGCCAUACCAUGCUGAAUAUACCGGUUCUCGUUAGAUCACCGAAGUCAAGCAUCAUUGGGCGCGGUCUGUACGUGGGUGGGUGACCACCUGGGAACACCGCGUGCCGUU